AGCCCGGUAGUGUAGCGGCCAAAUUAUUCAGGCCAUUCAUCGGGGGCUCUGGACCCCUGGACUCCGGUUCGAAUCCGGGCCGGGCUA
rnacentral:tRNA from 1 species